GGCGCUCCCCCACCCCCCUUCCCUUCCUCAUCCUGCUGCCUGCGCCUCCCCCUAACCGCCGCGCUGCGCACGGAUGGCGGCGGAGCCGCAGAGCUUCGAGGGUGCCAAAGGUGACAGCCCUCCCCACAGCUGGAGUGUCAGCGACACACGACGCACACCCGGAGCUCCAAGCCAGCCCGUGAUUAUGCUCUGAGCACCAGGGAGAGCAGAGAAGUGGAAUCAUACGGUAUCCCCUGUACUGCCGCAUCGCCAGUGCCGGACCGGCGGCCUGGGCGUCACCUGCACAGAAGUGCAGCAUCUCAGGCCCCUCCCAUGGCCUGCAGGACCACGCUUGAAUUUAAUAAGAACCUCGUGCCCAGAAGAUUCCUGUGUGCAUCAAAGUCAGCAGAGAAGCCCUGGUAUAUCUUACUACGUGCAACUUUUUAGUACUAGUAUGUCUCAGGUGUCUCUCAGUGUAAGAACCGAUAGAACGGUCAAGUUCCUUGUUCUCGGCUGCGUAGUUCCCCACGGUCUGCAGUGCCCUGUUCCUUGUUCCCUCGUCUGCUCAGAAUGGUUGGGUUGAACUUGAAGAAUGGACGAAUGAAAUGCCACUGUGGGCUUUAGAGUAGGUUGAUUCCAGCAUAAGCAAAGGUCUGGAAUCAGAAAGAAAGUGACCCUGAAAUCUACCCUGGGAAAUUUUGGUGAGGGCCAAAGGAUUGCAGAUGGUUCUCUCCAGGCACUGAGGAGCCGGGGGCCCGAGGGCCAAUGAAUUAGCUGAGAAUCUUAAAAAUGGCGUUGACUGCCUACUUUGGGCGCCCGAGAGGGAGCAUUCUCUCUGGAGCUGCUGCUGCACCAUGAGCCACCAACUGUGCUGGGCAGAUUAACAACAGGAAAUUCGCUGGGCAUCUCCUCCCUGCCAGGUGACUGUGCUGAGAGAUUCUGCCCACAGGAGGGAGAAGCUGUGAAUUCGCUUCUUUUGGUAGAUGAGGAAACUGAGGCACAACGAGGCUAACGAGGAAGAGUCUACAGUCACAAAGCCAGGAAGCGAUGCGGUGAAGAUGUGAACGGAGUGGGGAAGAGUCCGGCUUCCACCUUUCUGUCCUGCAUGACACCAGCAUCUUGUAACCUGUGUGUAUUUAAUGCAAGUAAAACACCAGCCCGCGCUGGCUGGUGUAGCUCAGUGGAUCGAGCACGGGCUGCGAAGCAAAGGGUCGCUGGUUUGAUUCCCAGUCAGGGCAC